CAGAAGGUGAGCUGGCAGUUAGGAUGUGUUGCUGGAGGUGGUUUUCUGGUUGUGAGGUCCUGCUUCUGCUUAGGUGCAGGAGUGUACAAUAUGCUACCUGUUAUUAAAUUCCUUUUCCAACAGUGGAACUGCAGAAGAGGCUCUACGUAAUAACCUGUGAUCAGGAUCCUAGUUAUGUGCUGGAUAGGCAACUGAAGAAGCCUGUCUUUCCACAAUUCAGACAGAGCACAUAAGAAAUGAAAGUGGAAGCAGCUCGAUAAUGUGAUAGUGCCAUUCAUUACUCCUCCAACUGAAAGGAUUCUGCUUCCUUGCAGACCACUGAGGUCAUUUUGUCACUGAAAGCUGAGUGAGGGCAGGUCGCAUGAUGUCAUCUGGCCUGGCUGUUGCAUGCAGCAGAGAAAGGCUCUUCCAGUGAGAGCAAGGCCUGGAGCGGGGUAGUGAAUGCAUGGAUGGAUUUGAUGGCCAGUGCAGGAGCUUCAGCUGUGCCACACUGGGAAAACAUCCUUAGAUGAACAGACUGUGUGUGGAGCAUGUAGCUUCUGUAGUACAACGGGCAGGCGUAACUUAAGGCAGCCCUGCUUCCUACAGCUGUUCUUUUCCAGUUGCUGUACAGCCAUCGCUGUACGUAACGGAGUUCCCCUUGUCAAAUGAUUUUAGCCCUUGUGAGGAGACAUGAUAGUAAAGGAGAACCCUGGCCGUUCU